rnacentral:tRNA from 1 species
GGGGUUGUGGCUCAGAGGUAGAGCGCUCGCCUAGCAUGUGUGAGGCGCUGGGUUUGAUCCUCAACACCA